rnacentral:rRNA from 1 species
GCUCUUCCAAAGUUAGUGGCGGACGGGUGAGUAACACGUGGGCAACCUGCCUGUAAGUUGGGGAUAACUCCGGGAAACCGGGGCUAAUACCGAAUGAUAGAGUGUGGCGCAUGCCACGCUUUUGAAAGAUGGUUUCGGCUAUCGCUUACAGAUGGGCCCGCGGUGCAUUAGCUAGUUGGUAGGGUAAUGGCCUACCAAGGC